UAAAAUGUUGAGUUUAUCUUUUGGUACUUCUACCUUUGUAUGCAAGGGAGCUUCCUGUGCGAUAAUGGUGUGGGGAGACUUGGAUGCUUCAUUUGUUUUUGUCUCGGUCGUGUGGAUAGGCCGUUGAGUGCUAUUGGUUAUGGGAAACGCCAAAGAAGUGUGCUCUGCCCCUGAAUGAUCUCCAAUGGGCGGUGUGUAUCCUGGUGGCAAACCAUAUAGUGGAAACGUGAAUUAUGUGCCCACGGCGUUAUGUAUUGGAGGGUGAGCAUUAUCCUCGGCCCUUGCGGACGAAGUCUCUCCUGCAGUUUUCAUGGCUUUCAAAGUCUCCAAAAUUUGACCGACUUGAUCCUUUAGUUGACUAAUAUCGGCCUUCACAGUUUCACGUUCCUCUUCCCCAUCUUCCAUAGCUUUGGCGUUUGCUCGAGUCCUAUAAGGAUGCCGUGGAAGUCCCGCCGUUGUUUUUUUAUUUAACUUUAAACUGUUUUUAUUAAUUUGGAUUAGACGAAAAACAAAUUAUGUGAAAAUGCAGAGAUGAUGCAU
rnacentral:lncRNA from 1 species